AUGUUUAUAAGUUCUGUAAAAGGGUUGGAUCCGACGCCUUUUGAAGGUUACUAUCGGCUCUCCUUCUCAACUGCUACUCAAUACGUCCACGACGUGCAGAACGGUAACUUGUCGCCUAAAUAUUCAAGCUUGGGUACACGGAGAAACCCACCCCCUUGGGCGGAUGGGCGGCAAGGCUGAAUUGAGAGGG
rnacentral:ribozyme from 1 species